GAUGAACGCUAGCGGCAGGCUUAAUACUUGCAAGUCGAGGGGUAGCAAGAUUGUAGCAAUACAAUUGUUGACGACCGGCAAACGGGUGCGGAACACGUACACAACCUUCCUACAAGUGGGGAGUAGCCCAGAGAAAUUUGGAUUAAUACCCCGUAACAUAGCGAUGUGGCAUCACAUUGCUAUUAUAGCUUCGGCGCUUGUUGAUGGGUGUGCGGCUGAUUAGAUAGUUGGCGGGGUAACGGCCCACCAAGUCUACGAUCAGUAGCUGAUGUGAGAGCAUGAUCAGCCACACGGGCACUGAGACACGGGCCCGACUCCUACGGGAGGCAGCAGUAAGGAAUAUUGGACAAUGGACGCAAGUCUGAUCCAGCCAUGCCGCGUGAAGGAUUAAGGUCCUCUGGAUUGUAAACUUCUUUUAUAAGGGACGAAAAAAGGUCUUUCUAGAUCGUCUGACGGUACCUUAUGAAUAAGCACCGGCUAACUCCGUGCCAGCCGCCGCCGUAACAC
rnacentral:rRNA from 1 species